UACGGGGGGGGCAAGCGUUGUUCGGAAUUACUGGGCGUAAAGGGUUUGUAGGUGGCCGGCUAAGUCAGACGUGAAAUCCCUCAGCUUAACUGGGGAACUGCGUCUGGGACUGGCCGGCUUGAGGGCCGGAGAGGAACGCGGAAUUCCAGGUGUAGCGGUGAAAUGCGUAGAUAUCUGGAGGAACACCGGUGGCGAAGGCGGCGUUCUGGACGGCAUCUGACACUGAGAAACGAAAGCCAGGGGAGCAAACGGG
rnacentral:rRNA from 1 species